rnacentral:rRNA from 1 species
CAGCGCCGCGGUAAUACAGAGGGUGCGAGCGUUAAUCGGAUUUACUGGGCGUAAAGCGUGCGUAGGCGGCUAAUUGAGUCGGAUGUGAAAUCCCCGAGCUUAACUUGGGAAUUGCAUUCGAUACUGGUUAGCUAGAGUGUGGGAGAGGAUGGUAGAAUUCCAGGUGUAGCGGUGAAAUGCGUAGAGAUCUGGAGGAAUACCGAUGGCGAAGGCAGCCAUCUGGCCUAACACUGACGCUGAGGUACGAAAGCAUGGGGAGCAAACAGGAUUAGAUACCCCUGUAGUCCCUGUCUCUUAUACA